CUUCUCUCUCCUCCUCCUCGGUACCCGGGUUCAGCACUGUGGACAGCUCCCUGCCUCCACCCCUGAACCACCGCCUGUGGUCUGAUGGUGGUCAAACACAAGUUGGACAGCGAGAAGUCUGCUGCGCCCCGGAGCACAUGAUAGACGGCAGCACCCCCCCACACCCCCCUGUUCUCGUGUGUUUCUAACACCCAAGCGACGGAUGGGACGAUACUGAAGAGUGUCUGUGGAGUCAGGGAAACGAGGCUGGAGCACAAUGAUCUCACGGUACAAACCGAGUCCCGGUUCCACCAUGCCCUUGGCGUUCUGUGGGAACGAGAAUAACUCGGUGGCCUACAACGUGGACCGGGGGGUUCUGAACAAUGGCUGUUUCCUGGACGCGCUCAACGUGGUGCCACACGUUUUCCUCCUCUUCAUCACCUUUCCCAUCCUCUUCAUCGGCUGGGGCAGCCAGAGUUCAAAGGUCCACAUCCACCACAGCACCUGGCUUCACUUUCCUGGUCACAACCUGCGCUGGCUUCUGACCUUUGUCCUGCUCUUCAUCCUCGUCUGUGAGAUCGCAGAGGGCAUCGUCUCCGAUGGAUUCAGCCAAUCUCUCCAUCUUCACCUGUACAUGCCUGCGGCUCUGGCCUUCAUGUCUGGCAUCGCUUCGAUUAUCUACUAUCAUAACAUCGAGACCUCCAACUUUCCAAAACUACUAAUAGCCCUGCUGAUCUACUGGAUGCUGGCCUUCAUCACGAAGACCAUCAAGUUUGCCAAAUACACCGAGCACGGCAUCGGCCCCAGGCAGCUACGCUACUGCAUCACCGGACUGCUGGCGGUGCUGUAUGGACUCCUACUGGCUGUGGAGAUCAACGUCAUCCUUGGCAGGCGCUACAUGUGUUUCUCCAACCCCACCGAGGUGAAGCCCCCCGAGGACCUUCAGGACCUGGGCGUUCGUUACCUGCAGCCCUUCGUCAACCUGCUGUCCAAAGCCACCUACUGGUGGAUGAACACCUUCAUCACCGCUGCCCACAGACGACCCAUUGACCUCAAGGUCAUCGGCAAACUGCCCAUCGCCAUGAGGGCCCUCACAAACUACAUCAAGCUACGCACGGCCUUCGAAGACCAGAAGAGGCCUCAGGGCGCAAUUACCCAGGGUCCAAAGUCGAUCUGGCGUGCCUUGAGAAAAGCAUUCGGCAGACCUCUCAUCCUCAGCAUCACAUUCCGCUUCCUCGCCGACCUGCUGGGCUUCGCCGGGCCGCUCUGCAUCUCUGGCAUCGUCCACCACAUCAGCAAGGACAACCGCACCAUCCAGCAGCCGAUGAGGUUGCUCGGUAUCUAUUUCAUUUCCUCCAAGGAGUUUCUGGAGAAUGCGUAUGUGCUGGCUGUGCUGCUCUUCUUCGCCCUGCUCCUGCAGAGGACCUUCCUCCAGGCCUCCUACUAUGUGGCCAUCGAAACCGGCAUCAACCUGCGCGGGGCCAUACAGACAAAGAUCUACAACAAGAUCAUGCGUCUGUGUACCUCCAACAUGUCCAUGGGCGAGCUCACCGUCGCUCAGAUCUGCAACCUCGUAGCCAUUGAUACCAACCAGCUCAUGUGGUUCUUCUUCCUCUGUCCUAACCUGUGGGCCAUGCCAGUACAGAUUGUCCUGGGAGUGAUCCUGCUCUACUACCUCUUGGGAAUCAGUGCCUUGAUCGGAGCGACCGUCAUCGCCGUGUUGGCUCCCGUGCAGUACUUUGUGGCCACAAAGCUGUCCCAGACACAGAAGAGCACUCUGGAGUACUCCAGUGAGCGUCUGAAGAAGACCAAUGAGCUGCUGCGCGGCAUCAAGCUGCUGAAGCUCUACGCCUGGGAGCGCAUCUUCUGUGACAGCGUGGAGGAGACCAGGGGCAAGGAGCUCACCAGCCUGCAGGCCUUCGCUCUUUACACGUCCAUAUCCAUUUUCAUGAACGCGGCUAUUCCCAUCGCGGCCGUCUUGACGACGUUCGUGGUCCACGUUCACCUCUCGGAGGACGCCGAUCUGUCUCCAGCUGUGGCCUUUGCCUCUUUGUCCCUCUUCCACAUCCUGGUCACGCCCCUCUUCCUGCUCUCCAGCGUGGUGCGCUCCACCGUCAAGGCUCUCGUUAGUGUUCAGAAACUCAGUGAGUUUUUCUCGAGUGACGAGAUUGGAGACGAGCAGGAGCCCAGGGCCGUGUUGACCUCUGGCUCCAGUAACCACAACCAGAACAGGUACCAGGCUGUGCCACUGAAGGUGGUGAACCGGAAGCGCCCUCCGAGGGACGACUGGAACAACUACAGCUCGCAGGGGGGCGGUGAGGGCGACGGAGCGUCCCAGGGCGUGGACCUUGACACUUGCAUCAAGAUAGUCAGCGGUUACUUCACCUGGACCGACGGACCGCCAACACUCUCCAGUGUGGACAUCCGGGUUCCUUUUGGCAAGCUCACCAUGAUCGUGGGCCAGGUGGGUUGCGGGAAGUCGUCCCUGUUGCUGGCGGCGCUGGGCGAGAUGCAGAGAGUGUCGGGGGCAGUCACCUGGAACAGCCAACCAAUCCUGGAGUCAGAGAGAGACGAAAGUCCCACGGAGAGAGACACGGCAGGCGAUGGAGACAUCAGGAAGAGAAGUGCUGUGGCCUAUGCCUCCCAGAAGCCCUGGCUGUUGAAUGCCACAGUGGUGGAGAACAUCACCUUUGAGAUGCCCAUGAUAAAACCAAGGUACAAAGCCGUCGUCGACGCCUGCUCCCUCCAGCCUGACAUUGACAUCCUGCCACAGGGGGACCAGACCGAGGUCGGAGAGCGGGGCAUCAUCCUGUCCGGUGGACAGAAGCAGCGAAUCAGUGUGGCCCGAGCCUUGUACCAGCAGACCAACGUCGUCUUCCUGGAUGACCCAUUCUCUGCCUUAGACAUCCACCUGAGUGACCAUCUGAUGCAGGAGGGCAUCCUGAAGCUCCUGAGGGAGGAGAAGAGGACGGUGGUGUUGGUGACACACAAGCUUCAGUAUCUGCCACACGCUGACUGGAUAAUUGCCAUGAAGGACGGCACCAUCCAGGCCGAAGGGACCCUGAAGGACAUCCAGAACUCUGAGCCCGAUCUCUUUGAGCAGUGGAAAUCCCUGAUGCACCGACAGGACAAGGAGUUUGAGAAGGAGACGGUGUCAGCGAGUAUGACCGACCUGGAGAGGAAAAACCUGCGGAGGGCCAUGUACUCCAGAGAGGCCGUCAGGACCGAGGAGGACGAGGAAGAGGAGUCCAUCGAGAGCGACGACGACGACGACAUGUCGCAGGUGAUGCGUCAGCGGGCCACCAUCCCCUGGCACUCCUGCGGCACCUACCUGUCGUCUGCCGGGCUCCUGCUGCUCACGCUGCUCCUCCUGUCGCAGCUCCUCAAACACUCGCUCAUGGUCGCCAUCGACUACUGGCUGGCCCACUGGACGUCGAACGUCAUCACGGCCAAGAUAGAAGCCACAGCUCGCAACUGUACCAUGGUUCAGGACUGUGGUUUCAGUCACUCGUGGUAUCUGUCAGUGUUCAGCGUGUUGUGCUGCCUGGGCAUCGUCCUGUGUCUGGUCACAUCCGUGGCAGUGGAGUGGACCGGACUCAAAGUGGCCAAGGAGCUUCACCAGAACCUGCUCAACAAGAUCAUACUGGCCCCCAUGAGGCUGUUUGAGACGACGCCGCUCGGCAGCAUCCUCAACAGGUUUUCCACCGACACCAACACCAUCGACCAGCACGUCCCCACCACCCUGGAGUGCCUGUCCCGCUCCACCCUGCUGUGUGUGUCCGCCCUCGGGGUCAUCUCCUACGUGACCCCCGUCUUCCUCUUCGCCCUCCUGCCGCUCGCCGUCACCUGCUACUUCAUCCAGAAGUACUUCCGCGUGGCCUCCAGGGACCUGCACCAGCUGGAGGACAGCACACAACUCCCUUUACUGUCCCACUUCUCGGAGACGGUGGAAGGUCUCACCACCAUCCGGGCCCUCAGGUUCGAGCCCAGGUUCCGACAGAGGUUACUGCAGUUCACGGACGCCAACAACAUCGCCUCUCUCUUCCUCACGGCAGCCAAUCGGUGGCUGGAGGUCCGCAUGGAGUACAUCGGAGCCUGUGUGGUGCUGGUGGCAGCCGUGGCCUCCAUCACCAACUCCCUCUACAACCAGCUGUCCACCGGCCUGGUGGGCCUGGGGCUGACCUACGCUCUCAUGGUAUCCAACUACAUGAACUGGAUGGUUCGCAACCUGGCAGACAUGGAGGUGCAGCUGGGCUCGGUCAAGAGAAUUGACGGCCUGCUCCAAACCGAACCGGAGAAUCACGAGGGACUGCUCGCUGUGUCUCAGGUCCCCGACGGCUGGCCCCGGCAGGGAGAGAUCAAGAUCCAGAACCUGAGCGUCCGCUACGACGCCACGCUGAAGCCCGUGCUCAAAAAUGUCAACGCACACAUCAGCCCAGGGCAGAAGGUGGGGAUCUGUGGCAGGACGGGCAGCGGCAAGUCCUCGUUCUCCCUGGCCUUCUUCCGCAUGGUCGACAUGUUUGAGGGGAGGAUCGUGAUCGAUGACAUCGACAUCGCCCAGCUGCCUCUGCAGACCCUCCGCUCGCGCUUGUCCAUCAUCCUCCAAGACCCCUUCCUGUUCAGCGGCUCCAUCCGGUUCAACCUGGACCCAGAGAUGAAGGCCACAGAUGAGAUGAUGUGGGAGGCUCUGGAGAUUGCUCAGCUGAAGCCGGUUGUUAAGACACUUCCAGGAGGCCUGGACGCCAUGGUGACGGAGGGAGGGGAGAACUUCAGUCAGGGUCAGAGGCAGCUGUUCUGUCUGGCCAGGGCCUUCGUGAGGAAGAGCAGCAUCCUCAUCAUGGAUGAAGCCACGGCGUCCAUAGACAUGGCAACGGUCAGUGUGUGUUUGACAAAGAAAGCUAAGUGGAGAGGAGACGACGGAGGGAGGCGGCGCAGGAAUACAAGGUGAAGAGAAGGGGGAAGAAAAGGAGAAGGCAUGGAAACGAUGCGCAAUGAAGGGGCAAGCAGAAAGAUGGAGAAUUCAUAAGAUUAGAUUAGAUAAGAUUUGCCUUCAUGGAUCCCUGUAGGGGGAAAUUCUAAUUUGACACGGCACCACAGACGUGUGGCAGCACAAGGGGAAAAUGGAAUAAAAAAAUUUAAUAAAAUAAGAAUAGAUAGCAGAAUCUAAGGCAGGUAAGAUAAAAUAGAAAUACUAUAAUGAAUACAGUGCAAUGUAGGGAGAACUACGUAUAUUCAUGACCCAAUCUUCACCUUUACGUAUUCUUUAAGCUCUAAAAGUACAUAUUUGAAUUUAUAAAAGUUAUAAUCUGUGGAUGGAAAAUCUGCAUUUCUUGAGCUUCAUUGAAAAUAUAAACCAUUGACAGCAACAAAAAUACAGAAACAACUCAGAUUUUGUUCUCUUGUAUAAUCGGUUUGGCAGCGAUCGCAAGUUUUGAUCAUGUUUGGAUCACGGCUUGUAUUUUUAAAAGAUAUUUUCUUCAGCCGCUGGAGGAGGAAGUGUGUACAGUAUGAGGCAGAGAGCGAGAGGCUGAAAUGGAGGGAAAACACUGAGCGGGGUUGAGAGCCUGAGGGGAACACGGUGACCGCGUCUUACUAAAGACCCUGGUUUCAAUGAGCGGCCACAAAGAGCAACGUUCCUAUCUCGCGUCAAAGCAGCAGCAGCAGCAGCAGCGGCAGCACUGCCCUCGAGGAAACAGUUUGAAAGAGACGCUACAAGAGAGAGAGCAUCCUGCAGAAGGUGGUGAUGACUGCGUUUGCCGACCGAACAGUGGUGACUAUAGCACACCGCGUCCACACCAUCCUGAACGCCGACCUGGUGAUUGUGAUGAAGCGGGGCAUCAUCCUGGAGUACGACAAGC